CCAUUCAUCCUGUGUCUGCAUGCACACUUGUGCUCUUUAUCCGCUCAAAACGCUAUAGAGCGAACGAGAAGGCGCUAGGAGCAAGGGAAAGUGGUUUUUCGAACAAACUCAUAUAAUCAGUUGCCCGACCUACUCCAAUUUGAUUCUUUUCACAUAAUUAGACAUAAUAUAGUACUAUGAAAUGUUUCUGACCCAAAAUAUUACGAAAUAUGAUUGUUUACAUUAAAAUGCAAAAGUUGAUGAAAAAGUAUGAUAAGGUGAAAAAAGUGACAUUUUAUGUCUAGAAAGUCAGUUUUCAUCAAAAGUACAAUAACAAAUCGAGUUCCCAUUCAUCCUGUGUCUCCUUACACACUUAUGCUCUUUAUCCGCUCAAAACGCUAUAGAGCGAACGAGAAGGCGCUAGGAGCAAAGGAAAGUGGUUUUUCGAACAAACUCAUAUAAUCAGUGGCCCGACCUACUCCAAUUUGAUUUUUUUUCACAUAGUUAGACAUAAUAUAGUACUAUGAAAUGUUUCUGACCCAAAAUAUUACGAAAUAUGAUUGUUUACAUUAAAAUGCAAAAGUUGAUGAAAAAGUAUGAUAAGGUGAAAAAAGUGACAUUUUAUGUCUAGAAAGUCAGUUUUCAUCAAAAGUACAAUAACAAAGUAGUUCGCAUUCAUCCUGUGUCUCCUUACACACUUGUGCUCUUUAUCCGCUCAAAACGCUAUAGAGCGAACGAGAAGGCGCUAGGAGCAAAGGAAAGUGGUUUUUCGAACAAACAUAUAAUCAGUGGCCCGACCUACUCCAAUUUGAUUUUUUUCACAUAGUUAGACAUAAUAUAGUACUAUGAAAUGUUUCUGACCCAAAAUAUUACGAAAUAUGAUUGUUUACAUUAAAAUGCAAAAGUUGAUGAAAAAGUAUGAUAAGGUGAAAAAAGUGACAUUUUAUGUCUAGAAAGUCAGUUUUCAUCAAAAGUACAAUAACAAAUCGAGUUCCCAUUCAUCCUGUGUCUGCAUGCACACUUGUGCUCUUUAUCCGCUCAAAACGCAAUAGAGCGAACGAGAAGGCGCUAGGAGCAAAGGAAAGUGGUUUUUCGAACAAACUCAUAUAAUCAGUGGCCCGACCUACUCCAAUUUGAUUUUUUUCACAUAGUUAGACAUAAUAUAGUACUAUGAAAUGUUUCUGACCCAAAAUAUUACGAAAUAUGAUUGUUUACAUUAAAAUGCAAAAGUUGAUGAAAAAGUAUGAUAAGGUGAAAAAAGUGACAUUUCAUGUCUAGAAAGUCAGUUUUCAUCAAAGACAAUAACAAAUCGAGUUCCUCAUUCAUCUGUGUCUGCAUGCACACUUGUGCUCUUUAUCCGCUCAAAACGCUAUAGAGCGAACGAGAAG
ensembl:lncRNA